rnacentral:lncRNA from 1 species
UGCCUAUAUACACCCUUUCCUUCUGAAAGCACAAGAUGACCUUUAUAAUCAGUGGCCAAUGCACUACAACUUGCCAUGAUUUAGUAACAAUUUACCUCAGCAUGCAACAAAUACUAUAUGAUCAUCCAAAUUUGCAAGUCUGCGCACAGGGACAAUAGCCAGUACAAUGAACAAUCGUAUAGCAUGGAUCCAUUGUGGAUUCAGA